rnacentral:rRNA from 1 species
UAGGGAAUCUUCCGCAAUGGGCGAAAGCCUGACGGAGCAACGCCGCGUGAGUGAUGAAGGUCUUCGGAUCGUAAAACUCUGUUAUUAGGGAAGAACAAAUGUGUAAGUAACUAUGCACGUCUUGACGGUACCUAAUCAGAAAGCCACGGCUAACUACGUGCCAGCAGCCGCGGUAAUACGUAGGUGGCAAGCGUUAUCCGGGAUUAUUGGGCGUAAAGCGCGCGUAGGCGGUUUUUUAAGUCUGAUGAAAGCCCACGGCUCAACCGUGGAGGGUCAUUGGAAACUGGAAAACUUGAGUGCAGAGGAGGAAAGUGGAAUUCCACGGGUAGCGGUGAAAUGCGCAGAGAUAUGGAGGAACACCAGUGGCGAAGGCGACUUUCUGGUCUGUAACUGACGCUGAUGUGCGAAAGCGUGGGGAUCAAACAGG